rnacentral:rRNA from 1 species
GACGGAGGAUGCAAGUGUUAUCCGGAAUCACUGGGCGUAAAGCGUCUGUAGGUGGUUUAAUAUGUCAACUGUUAAAUCUUGAGGCUCAACCUCAAAAUCGCAGUCGAAACUAUUAGGCUAGAGUAUAGUAGGGGUAAAGGGAAUUUCCAGUGGAGCGGUGAAAUGCGUAGAGAUUGGAAAGAACACCGAUGGCGAAGGCACUUUACUGGGCUAUUACUAACACUCAGAGACGAAAGCUAGGGUAGCAAAUGGG